rnacentral:sRNA from 1 species
GCGGCCGCACUGGCCAGCAGCCCCUCCGAGGGCUGGCUUCGGACCAAGGCCAAGCACCAGCGUGGCCGAGGCGAGCUUGCCAGUGAGUAGGGAAGGAGCUUCAGGGGGAGCAGGAGACCCCUGCUUCAGGCCUGCCCUGAGUCCCGGCUCUGGCCCUGCAGGCGAGGUGCUGGCUGUGCUAAAGGUGGACAACCGUGUUGUGGGGCAGACGGGCUGGGGGCAGGUGGCCGAACAGUCCUGGGACCAGACCUUUGUCAUCCCACUGGAGCGAGCCCGUGAGCUGGAGAUUGGGGUACACUGGCGGGACUGGCGGCAGCUAUGUGGCGUGGCCUUCCUGAGACUUGAGGACUUCCUGGACAAUGCCUGUCACCAACUUUCCCUCAGCCUGGUACCGCAGGGACUGCUUUUUGCCCAGGUGACCUUCUGCGAUCCUGUCAUUGAGAGGCGGCCCCGGCUGCAGAGGCAGGAACGCAUCUUCUCUAAACGCAGAGGCCGCCUUCCGGGACUUCGACUUUGUGUCAGAGCGAUUCCUGGAACCCUGAGGGCAUCUCCUGGCACCUCUGUCCCCUUCCCCCACAGACUGUUAGAGCCUCUGCUCGUUCACCCGUGCGCCCUGCCUGGAGGUCCAGGCCUUGCUGGGUACUUAUGAGCCCUUGGGAUUCAAGGUGGCAGCCAU